rnacentral:rRNA from 1 species
UACGUAGGCAGCAAGCGUUGUUCGGAAUUACUGGGCGUAAAGAGUGUGUAGGCGGUGCUCUAAGUCUGUUGUGAAAUCUCCCGGCUUAACCGGGAGGGUGCGGCGGAAACUGGAGUGCUUGAGGGUGGGAGAGGUAAGCGGAAUUCCUGGUGUAGCGGUGAAAUGCGUAGAUAUCAGGAGGAACACCGGUGGUGUAGACGGCUUACUGGACCACGACUGACACUGAGGCACGAAAGCGUGGGUAGCAAACAGG